rnacentral:rRNA from 1 species
CUGCUGCCUCCCGUAGGAGUUUGGUCCGUGUCUCAGUACCAAUGUGGGGGGGUUAACCUCUCAGUCCCCCUAUGUAUCGUUGUCUUGGUGAGCCGUUACCCCACCAACUAACUAAUACAACGCAUGCCCAUCCAUUACCACCGGAGUUUUCAACCCAAGAAGAUGCCUCCCUGGAUGUUAUGGGGUAUUAGUACCGAUUUCUCAGUGUUAUCCCCCUGUAAUGGGUAGGUUGCAUACGCGUUACGCACCCGUGCGCCGGUCGCCGACGUAGA